rnacentral:rRNA from 1 species
UACGAAGGGGGCUAGCGUUGCUCGGAAUGACUGGGCGUAAAGGGCGCGUAGGCGGCUUGGCAAGUCGGGUGUGAAAUCCCUCAGCUCAACUGAGGAAGUGCGCCCGAAACUGCUUUGCUUGAGUGUCGGAGAGGAUGGCGGAAUUCCCCAAGUAGAGGUGAAAUUCGUAGAUAUGGGGAGGAACACCGGUGGCGAAGGCGGCCAUCUGGACGAUUACUGACGCUGAGACGCGAAAGCGUGGGGAGCAAACAGGG